CCUACGGGAGGCAGCAGUAGGGAAUCUUCCGCAAUGGACGCAAGUCUGACGGAGCAACGCCGCGUGAGCGAUGAAGGCCUUCGGGUCGUAAAGCUCUGUUGUCAGGGAAGAACAAGUACCGGAGUAACUGCCGGUACCUUGACGGUACCUGACCAGAAAGCCACGGCUAACUACGUGCCAGCAGCCGCGGUAAUACGUAGGUGGCAAGCGUUGUCCGGAAUUAUUGGGCGUAAAGCGCGCGCAGGCGGUCCCUUAAGUCUGAUGUGAAAGCCCCCGGCUUAACCGGGGAGGGUCAUUGGAAACUGGGGGACUUGAGUGCAGAAGAGAAGAGCGGAAUUCCACGUGUAGCGGUGAAAUGCGUAGAGAUGUGGAGGAACACCAGUGGCGAAGGCGGCUCUUUGGUCUGUAACUGACGCUGAGGCGCGAAAGCGUGGGGAGCAAACAGGAUUAGAUACCCUGGUAGUCCACGCCGUAAACGAU
rnacentral:rRNA from 1 species